rnacentral:lncRNA from 1 species
GCCGGUCACAGCCCCUUCUGCGCAUUCCUCCUCGCCGGUCACAGCCCCUUCCGCGCGUUCCUCCUCGCCGGUCGUAGCCUCUCCAAUGCCGACACCGUCGCCGUCCACUUCCUUGCCAGAUGCAACCAUGCGCCCGCAUUCACAGAUGAAAGGUAAGGUUCCUAUUUAUGACUUAAUGAGUGAUGAUGAGGAAGAAUGGGAGGUGAAACCUGAAAUCCUGAGGCAACUCCAAGAACAAAAAAUGCAACCCAGAACCAUAAAAUUAAUCGUGGAAGCUUCGGAGGACAGCAGCGAGGACACAACCUCGAGUGCCAGUGAAGAAAUCCAGGCUGAUUCUCCUCCAAAGAAAAAGCAGAAAAAACGGAUGCCCAGAAUAGCUGGUGGAAAGGCCAGAUAGAACCUGCAGAGCAAGACCUUCAUGGCAGUUUUAGCUUUGUCGGCGAUGAUGAGGUGAGAUAUAAAAUUUUUCUCCAUUCUGAUAUUUAUGCUUGUAAGAAAAUAAAUGAUGAUACCUUGAUCCAAUUGCAAUUGUAUGAUGAAGUUUAUGCAUUAAUUGAUACAAUUGGAUGGAGAAAAUUUUUUUUUAUAGAUUGUCCCUCCUAUGUUGAGCUUUGCCGUGACUUUUAUGCAACCUAUGAGUUUUCUUUUUAUGCACAGGAUUUUAAUUUGAAUAUUCCUACAAUUCGUUUUAGGUUGCAAAAUAAAAUGGUCCAAUGUUCAAUCACAACAUUUAAUUUGUACUUGGGUAUUUAUGAUAAUGAAUAUGUCAAAACUGUUAAAUAUUUAGAUUCAUUAUGUGACUACCCAGUGGAUUGGGAUCCAAUUUUAGCAUACAAGGAGUUAACAGGGAAACUUGAGCUUAAAUUUAGGGGUGGGAAAUCUAAAGCUAAUGAUAUUCAGAGCCUUGCCCUUAGAUACCUUCAUAGGUUCCUAUGUUACACAUUUUCUGGAAAAAAUAAAGAUCCAACUAAACUCACAAAAUAUGAACUCUUCUUCUUAUGGUGCAUGUUAAAAAAAAGAGAAGUUAAUUUUGAUUUUUGGUUAGCCUCCCAGUUUAAAAGUAUAUCUAAUGUUGGGCGUGGUAUAUACUUGGGUUUUGUAAUUUCAAUGCUAGCAGUAGGGUUGGGUGUACUUGAUAUUAAAAACACUAAUUUACACAUAGCUGAGCCUAUUCUUCCACUUGAUAUAUCUGCACUUAAUUAUAUGGGCUUACUUUGCCUCAAUGAGAGGAAAAAAUUUGUGUUUUGUCCUUCACGUCCUAUCAUUCCACCAUGAUCGCGUUUAUUUCGGACAGAGGACCAAUCAGCUUCAGCCUCAGCCUCCUCAGCAGCAUCUCUAGAACCUAGUGAUCAAGCCCGCCUAGCCAGAAUUGAGGCAAAAAUGCACCAUAUGGAUGCCAAAUUGGAUGUCAUUCUCUCUCACUUGGGGUUGCCCAUACCCCAACCACCAGCAGCCUAAGUUCUAUGCGACUUACUCUUAAGGGAAGUUCUCUUUGAUUUACUUUUAUUUUAUUUUGUGCACUUCCCUGUUUAAUUGAAUUUUUUUCCACAUUGAGGACAAUGUAAGGAGUAAGUGUGGGGGAGAUGUGGUAUGGAAAUAGAAG